AGAGUUUGAUCAUGGCUCAGAACGAACGCUGGCGGCGUGCCUAACACAUGCAAGUCGCGCGAGAAAACAACUUCGGUUGCGAGUAAAGCGGCGCACGGGUGAGUAACACGUGGAUAAUCUGCCUCAUGGAUUGGGACAACCUGCCGAAAGGCGGGCUAAUACCGGAUACGUUCUCUUGGUCUGCGGACUGGGAGAAGAAAGGGCGCUGUCAAAGGUGUCGCCAUGAGAUGAGUCCGCGGCCCAUCAGGUAGUUGGUGAGGUAACGGCUCACCAAGCCUAAGACGGGUAGCUGGUCUGAGAGGAUGAUCAGCCACACUGGAACUGAGACACGGUCCAGACUCCUACGGGAGGCAGCAGUGGGGAAUUUUGGUCAAUGGGCGCAAGCCUGAACCAGCAACGCCGCGUGGGUGAUGAAGGCCUUCGGGUUGUAAAGCCCUGUCGGGAGGGACGAAAAGUCUGCGUAACGAGCAGGCCUGACGGUACCUCCAAAGGAAGCACCGGCUAACUCUGUGCCAGCAGCCGCGGUAAUACAGAGGGUGCAAGCGUUGUUCGGAAUUACUGGGCGUAAAGCGCGUGUAGGCGGUGCCAUAAGUCCUGUGUGAAAGCCCUGGGCUCAACCCAGGAAGUGCGCAGGAUACUGUGGGACUGGAGUACUGGAGAGGAUGGCGGAAUACCCGGUGUAGAGGUGAAAUUCGUAGAUAUCGGGUGGAACACCUGUGGCGAAGGCGGCCAUCUGGACAGUCACUGACGCUGAGACGCGAAAGCGUGGGGAGCAAACAGGAUUAGAUACCCCCGUAGUCC
rnacentral:rRNA from 1 species